GGCGUCAGACUCGCUGUGAACUCUCUCAGCCUCUGUAAACAGAGAGAGUAAAGGAAAGAACUCAAUAGCACUGUUGGAAUAUUGCACGAGCCCAGGCCCUUUAAGCACUUAGCACGGGUGCCUGGCAAGUGCUAAAUACCCAAGAAGUGUUUGCUCCUAUUAAUACACCUGCAUUUAUCUUAACGUAAAGAAGACUACCACACGGUGCUGGAGGGCCGGGGAAGGACCUGAGGAGGAAGAUACUACAUUUGCUAUUCAACAAUGGAAGAAACUGAAUCUUUAUGCUAUCCAACAACUCCUCAGGCUCUCACAGCUAGUGAAAGAAAUGGCCUUCCUUUUCAAAAGCCGGCCUCCAGGAACACAUGGAAAUGAGGACAUCUGAGCUCAGAGAGAAAGGAACCAUGGAGAACCUUCUGGACACAGCUAUAUGGAGCAGAAAGACGAUUUUCUUUCAUCUAGAAGAGCUUCAUAUUGGUUGCUUCCUCCUUGGACUCCCAAGCUUCCAAGGUGUAUACACUUGGGUAGAUAUUUUAGCCCAUGGUCCCUCCAGUGUACACAUCCCACAUGCUCCCAAGAAUGUGUCUUUCCAACUGCUAGAUUAUAGGUUUCUUGAAAAAUAAAACAGUCAGAGUUUGUGCUAAGUUCUUCACGUAUCAUCCCAUUUUGUUCUCACAAUAAUCCUUCAAGAGGGGUAUUACGAUCAUCCCCAUUUUUUUUUUUUUUUUUUUUUAAAUAAGUGAGGGCAUGGAGGUUAUGAUAACUUGCCUAAAGUCAUAGCGGGUUAGUGGUGGCCUUGGGCAAGCAAGAAGCUGGGAGUCAAGAGCCUACACCCUUCAUUACCCCCUAAGCCACUUUUCUACUACAUGUGGUAUGGACGAUCGUGGUGAGGCAUCAAUGUACAUAUUGACUUGAGUUUCAGACACCUGCUUGCCAUUUUCUUAGUGCAACCUUGAAGGCACUGAGAGAAUUGCUGGGGUGGGGGAGGGGACUAUCUACUGUGUUCUGGAUCAAAGUUAACAAUAACAUGGGGGUUAAUACAUUUGGUUUGAAACUUUGGUAUCUUACAUAUUUCUUUACCUUUGGGCCGGGGCCCUUCACCUAAUUCAUGAGACAUUUCUGACACCACUGUGCCUACAGGGAAGCUCAGAAUGCGACCCGUGAUUACAUUUAUCUAAUUAACCAAAAACUCUCCCAAAUGACACUUCUCCAAGUCUAAAGAGUGGUGUUAAUGAAGUGGAAACCAUCAAAAACACUUCAGCUUAAUCCUAGGGAAACAGUUGAUGAGGCACCACAGAGACCCAGGAUUAUUGCCCUCAUUAAAAGGUAAUUUAAAGCUGGCAUGGGUUUUGUGUUAGCAUCUUGAGUGUCUGUAAGCUGGGCCACCUGUUACUCUCAUGUGAUAGGACCAGGAGUGGGUGGGGGGCCCUGGCACUUACCCUCGCGUUAGAACAGCUCCCUUCUCUGAGGCUGUGGCCGCCGCCUCGAGCACGCUGGGGGCUUUCACUGAGAUCCGGGCCACCGGAGGAAUCUGCGUGGUGCAGAAGGGGAAGGGAAGAUGAGGAUGUGGCCAUGAUCCCAACUCUGGCAUUGACCGGAGCCAGUUGAAAGGGGGAUGUCUCCGUCCAUCCACCACCCAGGGCAAUAGUCCUCAAGCUUUGACUGGCAUCGAGACUCUCCUGCGGGGCUGGUCACCACUGUGCGUGGCCUACCCCAGUUUCUGAUCCAAUAGGUCUGACAUGGGCUUGAAAAUCUGCGUUUCUAACAAGUUCCUGGGUGCUGCCAGUCCCAGGACCCCACACUGAGAACCACUGACCCAGAGAACUUGAGAGAGAGAGGGCGCACAACUCAAUUUUAUCUGAAAACUCUGUCCCCCGCCCCCACCCCCAUUACCUAUGUCUACUUUGUUGCCAAAUCCUGCAGAUUCAUGCUUUGAAAGACUGCCUCGGGUAGUGCCAUCCUCCCCCAUCUCCUCUGCCACACGCAGCCUUCCGAUCCAGUCACCCGGGAACUCCUUGCUUUGGACCAGCCCCACCACUGACCCCAGCCCCACUGGAUUUGCAGUGCCUGCCCACGGCAGGUCAGACUGAGGCCAACUCUGGAAGCACAGGCUCCUCAGAACCCAGCUCUCCCUCAUCUAUGCAGCUCUACCUCUGUUAAUCCCCCGCGCAGCGCUGCAUCUUCCUUCGGCUUUUCCUUCAUCCUCUGGACAGAGCCUCAUUUCUGCCUGCCCUUCAGAGCCACUUCUUCCCGGAGGCCUUUCCUCAGGCUGGUGGCCUGAGUUGAUUUCUCUCGGUCCUCAUGCUCCAUGUCCCCACAGUACUGAGAACCUAUGUGACAUAUUUCAGCAAUUCCCCAGUUCUUUCUAUGGUUUGCUUCUUGUUUCAUAGGCUCCCAGUUCUCAGAAAAGUGCUAUGAUGUGUGUCAGGGUCUGGCACUUAAUCCCUUUGGCGGUGCUCUGCAGCCUUCCUAGAGAUGGUGAGUGCUCAAGAAGCAUGACGACCUAACAAGGGUUAAAUCCAGAAUUGGCUUAGUCAACAGACAUAUGCUAUGCUUUGUUCCUUCACCCCAACCCCACUGAAGCCUUAGGGUCACCACAUUCUUGAAAUUGCUGGGAAAUUCCAGGUUGAGGACAUGAUGAUUAACUGUCCCCUUCUCUCCCUAGCUGGCCAAAUGUUGUGGGCAGAGUUACUGUGCCACCUUGUGGCCUCUCGGGAGCUCUCCCUCCCCAUCGUGCCAACAGCCCAGCCCCGGGAACAUAUACCGCCUCUCCUCCACUGUCCUCAGUCCUCCUCCAGUACGUUGCAGCACUGAGUCAGAAUUAGCUGUACGAGCUCUGACUCAUUCUUCCACGCUGGGAUAAGGGGCCUCUGAUCAACUGCAGGACCCCUGCUUCACUGUCUCAGGCUCAGGGGAAAGAGUCAGUCCUGCUGCCUUUCUUUUGUCACUGUGUCCCCAUGACCAUCCUGUCCCAUUGCAACUCCUUUUGGUCUCCCAGAAGUAGUUCUCUGCCAAGGCUACUAUGUGAGCCCAGCCCAGAGAGUUGGAGCAGGUAAUCCAAGGAUGUGAGCCACCCUCUUCCCCUUAACUUUGGUCUUCUUCUGACCACAGCUAAGGGCAGCUAUUUGUGCUGUCACAGCCUGGAAAUCUGUGGCAAUGGCCCAGCCAUCCUCAUUUUCUCUUGAGGACUAGGUUGGGGUAGAGGGCUCCUGAUAAAACAGAUUGGCCCAUCUCUCCUCUUUCUGUGGUUCUCCUAGUACAGGGAUGACCUAAAUGAGGUAUUUGGAUUAGAUUUUCUGCUCAGACAGGGAGCAAAGGGCUCACUGUCCAGUUUGUUUCAGAAUGAUGAGGGGGCUGGCCCACACAAUCUCCAGGGUCUUUUCUAGUCCUCACCUGGCACGAUCCACCCAUCUGGAGAGCUGCUGCUCACAGAGACCAGGGUGCCUGAGCUGACCUCACCUCUAGCCACGAUUCCACCCCUACUGUGCAAACCUAAAGGGUACCCACAUUCAUGCCCAGAAGAAGAUGCAGGAGAUUUUUUUUUUUCCCUAGAGGGACCCUGAGCUAGAUCUGGAUGUGCACCCCCUGAUCUGCCUUCAAAGAAGGACAAGCUGCCACCAUGGGGGUAGCUCAUGUACCAUAAUGGAGCGAGGAGGAAACAAAGGCUUGGCUAUUUGGGCCCAACUCAGGACAAGGGGGAGGGGUAGCAAUGGCCCCAGAACUUCCGCCAGUAGGUAUCCCGUGUGCAUGGCAGUUCAGCCUCCUAGUGAUCUGAACUCCCUCCUCCUGUAACAGGUACUGAUCCCUAAUACAAAUCUCAUACCCCCUACCCUGCAUCUCAGAGUCUGCCUUCAGAGACCCCGACUGGGAACAGACAUCCUCCAGAGGUGUCCUGGGCGCAGAUGCCUGGUGUUUCAUGUUUUCACAACAUUUAAGACCCUUGAGAGGCAACUCUUGACCUCUUAGCUGCCCCUGGGAAUUAGUCAGGCCUGUCCACCUGGCAUGGGCCUACCACAGAAACCACUUCUUUCUCCCUGUGUUUGAGAUGUCCCCUAGGCAACACCUUUUUCUGUUUGCCUGAGAGCUGAAUUUCUGGCAAGAAAGAGAACACCAUCCAGUGGUGACUGACGUUGGGAGCCAAAAACCUGCAGGUAGGCUUUUCUAGUAAUCUUCAUGGCUGCAACAAAGGACAGGGUGAGGAGUUUAAAGCACAAUAUGGAGAACUAACCAGGCUUAUUUUACUUACCAAAGACUUUCCAUAUGCUC